GCGGCGGCACCGGUGGGAGCGGGGCCCUGGUCUAGGAGUGGCGAGCGGACUGGCGGCGGAGGCCUUGUAGCGGCGGCGGAGGCGGCGGCUUAAGGCGCAGGCGUGGUCCGUUGGGUGCGAGUCCUCGGAGCCCACGAGCGGCCUCUCAGCCCUCUCUCCUGCCCGUCGGAAACCGGGAGCCAGGGACCCGCUUAGCCGGCGUCAUCAUGACCAAGGCCGGUAGCAAGGGCGGGAACCUCCGCGACAAGCUGGACGGCAAUGAGCUGGACCUGAGCCUCAGCGACCUGAAUGAGGUCCCCGUCAAGGAGCUGGCUGCACUUCCCAAGGCCACCGUAUUGGAUCUGUCCUGCAAUAAACUGAGUACUCUUCCGUCGUAUUUCUGUGGCCUCACGCACCUGGUAAAGCUGGACCUCAGCAAGAACAAGCUACAGCAGCUGCCUGCAGACUUUGGCCGCCUGGUUAAUCUUCAGCAUUUGGAUCUCCUCAACAACAGGCUGGUCACCCUGCCUGUCAGCUUUGCCCAGCUCAAGAAUCUGAAGUGGUUGGAUCUGAAGGACAACCCCCUGGACCCUGUCCUGGCCAAGGUGGCAGGUGAUUGCUUGGAUGAGAAGCAAUGUAAGCAGUGUGCAAACAAGGUGUUACAGCACAUGAAGGCCGUGCAGGCAGAUCAGGAACGAGAGCAGCAGCGCCGGCUGGAAGUGGAGCGAGAGGCAGAGAAGAAGUGGGAGGCCAAGCAGCAAGCAAAGGAAGCGAAGGAGCGUGAGCUGCGGAAACGGGAGAAGGCGGAGGAGAAGGAGCGUCGGAGGAAGGAGUAUGACGCUCAGAAAGCGUCCAAGCGGGAGCAAGAGAAGAAGCCUAAGAAGGAGGCAAACCAGGCCCCGAAAUCGAAGUCUGGCUCUCGUCCUCGCAAGCCACCACCCCGAAAACACACUCGCUCCUGGGCUGUGCUGAAGGUGUUGCUGCUGCUGCUGCUGCUGCUGCUGUGUGUAGCAGGAGGGCUGGUUGUAUGCCGGGUGACAGGGCUGCACCAGCAGCCCCUCUGCACCAGCGUGAACACCAUCUACGACAAUGCGGUCCAGGGCCUGCGUCAUCAUGAGAUCCUCCAGUGGGUCCUGCAGACCGACUCCCAGCAGUGAGCUCACCCUCAGCACCCGCCGCCUCCCAGCCUUGGAGCUUGGAUUCCUAUGGAAUUGGGCUCUGCUGGACACAACCUCU